rnacentral:rRNA from 1 species
UAACACGUGAGUAACCUGCCCCCGAUUUCGGGAUAAGCCCGGGAAACUGGGUCUAAUACCGGAUACGACCAAUCCUCGCAUGAGGGUUGGUGGAAAGUUUUUCGAUCGGGGAUGGGCUCGCGGCCUAUCAGCUUGUUGGUGGGGUAAUGGCCUACCAAGGCGACGACGGGUAGCCGGCCUGAGAGGGCGACCGGCCACACUGGGACUGAGACACGGCCCAGACUCCUACGGGAGGCAGCAGUGGGGAAUAUUGCACAAUGGGGGAAACCCUGAUGCAGCGACGCAGCGUGCGGGAUGACGGCCUUCGGGUUGUAAACCGCUUUCAGCAGGGAAGAAGCCGUAAGGUGACGGUACCUGCAGAAGAAGUACCGGCUAACUACGUGCCAGCAGCCGCGGUAAUACGUAGGGUACGAGCGUUGUCCGGAAUCAUUGGGCGUAAAGAGCUCGUAGGUGGUUGGUCACGUCUGCUGUGGAAACGCAACGCUUAACGUUGCGCGUGCAGUGGGUACGGGCUGACUAGAGUGCAGUAGGGGAGUCUGGAAUUCCUGGUGUAGCGGUGAAAUGCGCAGAUAUCAGGAGGAACACCGGUGGCGAAGGCGGGACUCUGGGCUGUAACUGACACUGAGGAGCGAAAGCAUGGGGGAGCGAACAGGAUUAGAUACCCUGGUAGUCCAUGCCGUAAACGUUGGGCACUAGGUGUGGGGGGACAUUCCACGUUUCUCCGCGCC